UAGAGUUCGGACCUGGCUCAGGAUGAACGCUGGCGGCGUGCCUAAUACAUGCAAGUCGAACGAACUUCCGUUAAUUGAUCAGGACGUGCUUGCACUGAAUGAGAUUUUAACACGAAGUGAGUGGCGGACGGGUGAGUAACACGUGGGUAACCUGCCCAGAAGCAGGGGAUAACACCUGGAAACAGAUGCUAAUACCGUAUAACAGAGAAAACCGCCUGGUUUUCUUUUAAAAGAUGGCUCUGCUAUCACUUCUGGAUGGACCCGCGGCGCAUUAGCUAGUUGGUGAGGUAACGGCUCACCAAGGCGAUGAUGCGUAGCCGACCUGAGAGGGUAAUCGGCCACAUUGGGACUGAGACACGGCCCAGACUCCUACGGGAGGCAGCAGUAGGGAAUCUUCCACAAUGGACGCAAGUCUGAUGGAGCAACGCCGCGUGAGUGAAGAAGGGUUUCGGCUCGUAAAGCUCUGUUGUUAAAGAAGAACGUGGGUGAGAGUAACUGUUCACCCAGUGACGGUAUGACCAGAAGACCGCC
rnacentral:rRNA from 1 species